rnacentral:lncRNA from 7 species
GGGGAGAAGUCUCUUCCUUCCUAAUAUAGCUGCUGCAGGGGUAUAAGAUCUGGCCGACCAGUUUACAUCUACAUAUGAGACAUGCAGAGAAACAGUUGCAAAAUGUCUAUCUUCCCUCAACAAGUGAGAAGAGGAGCUCUAAGCAUUAAAGAGUUUUGCAGGAGGAAGAACUCUUGGUGAUCCAAAAUUGCUGGAUAAAGCCCUUUGGACUCUCUUCUAACUCACAAACUCAUCAGAAAGAUCCAAUCUGUACCCUACCUGCCUGCGUGCUGGUUCUUUUCCUGUGGCCUCAAGAGGUUUUGCAGAUACUGAGGCUGCAAUCAGUCACUUACAAAGAAAGCACAGUCUCAGGCAUGUAUUAUCACAGGAAGCAACCAUCAACAUUGUCCAGAGAUUUCGAUAAAAAGCCCAUGCUUCUGCACAAAGAUUGUCUCAUGAAUCAGAGGAUCAUGUCCUUUGCAUGUAUGAUAUGGUUCUUAGAACAGAGUUAUAUAGCAAAAAGAAAACAGGAUUUGACUAUAGGGAUAAGAAGAAAAAAAGACAACGAGGAGAGGAACCACACAUCAUGAGAUGCCCAACUGGACCUUUCUUUAAGGAGACUGAGAGCUAUUCUAAGAGCUAUUUACAGACCUCUACUCUGGUUUCUUAAUAAAGACACUGACCACCUUGCUUUCCAGUUCCUGCCCAGUUUGGGAUUAUUAAAUCACAAAAGUAUGUCCUUCUCCUGCUGGUAGCCACAGAGGUCUUCUCCUGGUCACUUCCCUGCCUCAAGCUGCUGCUCUAGUGGCUGCUCUAGCCAGCUGUCCUACUCCUGCUCCUGUCUCUUGCUAUAGCAGCUCCAGUACUGCUGCCUCAUCCGGAUGACAGUUGUCACUCUUCUAUCAGUGUCUCCCACUUCAGCAAAGAGUAUGUGGCUGUGCAUGUGCACAUUUGUACUCAAGUACACUCCUGCUUUUUCAACUUGGAUUCUCAUCUAGCAGUAGCCCCUUAAAGUCUGCUAUGCAUUUUCUUUUGACUUCUGUGCUUUACUUCUGUAAAACCUACUGAGAUCUUUUACUCUCAGCAUUCUUAACUCAAGCACUUAAUCCAUACCAUUACAUGGUUAUCUGUUUCCUCCAUUAUGUGGAUGGUUACUCUACUCUACUCAAGUAGAAAGCCUUCUGAAUGAAUAAACGCUUACGUGC